AGAGUUUGAUCCUGGCUCAGGACGAACGCUGGCGGCGUGCCUAACACAUGCAAGUCGAGCGAGGAAUGACAGGUAGCUUGCUACUGGUUAUUUCUAGCGGCGGACGGGUGAGUAACGCGUGAGCAACCUGCCUUUAUCAGGGGGAUAACGCAUCGAAAGAUGUGCUAAUACCGCGUAAGACCACAGCUUCACAUGGAGCAGGGGUCAAAGGAGCAAUCCGGAUAAAGAUGGGCUCGCGUCCGAUUAGCUAGUUGGUGAGAUAACAGCCCACCAAGGCGACGAUCGGUAGCCGACCUGAGAGGGUGAUCGGCCACAUUGGAACUGAGAUACGGUCCAGACUCCUACGGGAGGCAGCAGUGGGGAAUAUUGGGCAAUGGGCGAAAGCCUGACCCAGCAACGCCGCGUGAGGGAAGAAGGGUUUCGGCUCGUAAACCUCUGUCCUAUGGGACGAAGGAAGUGACGGUACCAUAGGAGGAAGCCCCGGCUAACUACGUGCCAGCAGCCGCGGUAAUACGUAGGGGGCGAGCGUUGUCCGGAAUGAUUGGGCGUAAAGGGCGCGUAGGCGGCCUGCUAAGUCUGGAGUGAAAGUCCUGCUUUCAAGGUGGGAAGUGCUUUGGAUACUGGUGGGCUGGAGUGCAGGAGAGGAAAGCGGAAUUACCGGUGUAGCGGUGAAAUGCGUAGAGAUCGGUAGGAACACCAGUGGCGAAGGCGGCUUUCUGGACUGAAACUGACGCUGAGGCGCGAAAGCGUGGGGAGCAAACAGGAUUAGAUACCCUGGUAGUCCACGCGGUAAACGAUGAAUGCUAGGUGUAGGAGGUAUCGACCCCUUCUGUGCCGCAGUAAACACAAUAAGCAUUCCGCCUGGGGAGUACGGCCGCAAGGUUGAAACUCAAAGGA
rnacentral:rRNA from 1 species